GACGAACGCUGGCGGCGUGCUUAACACAUGCAAGUCGAACGGAAAGGCCCUGCUUUUGUGGGGUGCUCGAGUGGCGAACGGGUGAGUAACACGUGAGUAACCUGCCCUUGACUUUGGGAUAACUUCAGGAAACUGGGGCUAAUACCGGAUAGGAGCUCCUGCUGCAUGGUGGGGGUUGGAAAGUUUCGGCGGUUGGGGAUGGACUCGCGGCUUAUCAGCUUGUUGGUGGGGUAGUGGCUUACCAAGGCUUUGACGGGUAGCCGGCCUGAGAGGGUGACCGGCCACAUUGGGACUGCGAGACGGACCAGAGUCCUACGGGAGGCAGCAGGGGGGAAUAUUGCACAAUGGGCGGAAGCCUGAGGCAGCAACGCCGCGUGCGGGAUGACGGCCUUCGGGUUGUAAACCGCUUUCGCCUGUGACGAAGCGUGAGUGACGGUAAUGGGUAAAGAAGCACCGGCUAACUACGUG
rnacentral:rRNA from 1 species